rnacentral:rRNA from 1 species
GUUCGUCUAAGCCAUGCGAGUCAUAUGUUCUUUGGAACAUGGCGUACUGCUCAGUAACACGUGGAUAACCUGCCCUUGGGUCCGGCAUAACCCCGGGAAACUGGGGAUAAUACCGGAUAACGCAUAUAUGCUGGAAUUCUUUAUGCGUGAAACGGAUUCGUCUGCCCAAGGAUGGGUCUGCGGCCUAUCAGGUAGUAGUGGGUGUAAUGUACCUACUAGCCGACGACGGGUACGGGUUGUGAGAGCAAGAGCCCGGAGAUGGAUUCUGAGACAUGAAUCCAGGCCCUACGGGGCGCAGCAGGCGCGAAAACUUUACAAUGCGGGAAACCGUGAUAAGGGGACACCGAGUGCCAGCAUCAUAUGCUGGCUGUCCGGGUGUGUAAAAUACACCUGUUAGCAAGGGCCGGGCAAGACCGGUGCCAGCCGCCGCGGUAACACCGGCGGCCCGAGUGGUGAUCGUGAUUAUUGGGUCUAAAGGGUCCGUAGCCGGUUUGGUCAGUCCUCCGGGAAAUCUGACGGCUUAACCGUUAGGCUUUCGGGGGAUACUGCCAGACUUGGAACCGGGAGAGGUAAGAGGUACUACAGGGGUAGGAGUGAAAUCUUGUAAUCCCUGUGGGACCACCUGUGGCGAAGGCGUCUUGCCAGAACGGGUUCGACGGUGAGGGACGAAAGCUGGGGGCACGAACCGGAUUAGAUACCCGGGUAGUCCCAGCCGUAAACGAUGCUCGCUAGGUGUCACGCAUGGCGCGACCGUGUCUGGUGCCGCAGGGAAGCCGUGAAGCGAGCCACCUGGGAAGUACGGCCGCAAGGCUGAAACUUAA